rnacentral:rRNA from 1 species
CAGCAGCCGCGGGAAUACGUAGGUGGCAAGCGUUGUCCGGAAUUAUUGGGCGUAAAGGGCUCGCGGGCGGUUUCUUAAGUCUGAUGUGAAAGCCCCCGGCUCAACCGGGGAGGGUCAUUGGAAACUGGGAAACUUGAGUGCAGAAGAGGAGAGUGGAAUUCCACGUGUAGCGGUGAAAUGCGUAGAGAUGUGGAGGAACACCAGUGGCGAAGGCGACUCUCUGGUCUGUAACUGACGCUGAGGAGCGAAAGCGUGGGGAGCGAACAGGAUUAGAUACCCCAGUAGUCCCUGUCUCUUAUAC